rnacentral:rRNA from 1 species
GACGAACGCUGGCGGCGUGCUUAACACAUGCAAGUCGAACGAUGAAGUUCCUUCGGGAAUGGAUUAGUGGCGAACGGGUGAGGAACACGUGAGAAACCUGCCUUUCAUUUUGGGAUAACUCCGGGAAACCGGGGCUAAAACCGAAUACUCCGUCUCGGCGGCAUCGCUGAGCCGGGAAAAAAUUUUGAUGAAAGAUGGUCUCGCGGCCUAUCAGCUAGUUGGUGAGGUAAUGGCUCACCAAGGCAACGACGGGUAGCCGGCCUGAGAGGGCGACCGGCCACACUGGGACUGAGACACGGCCCAGACGCCUACGGGAGGAAGCAGGGGGGAAUAUUGGGCAAUGGGCGCAAGCCUGACCCAGCGACGCCGCGUGAGGGAUGAAGGCCUUCGGGUUGUAAACCUCUUUCAGUAGGGAAGAAGCGAAAGUGACGGUACCUAAAGAAGAAGCACCGGCUAACUAUGUGCCAGCCGCCGCGGUAA